AGCCACAGUUGCCACGGUGAUUAUUCUAAACACAGCAGGUGAUGUAAUUCCCCUUGGGAGUGUGGCAUCAAGCAGAUGAAUUGGGCGCAUUGCAUCUGAUUCAGCCUCUUGAGGAGAAAGACUUCAUACUGAUCCAAAUAGACUCCCGAGAGGCAGAAAGAGGAAAAUGAUAAAUAAAUGCCAGCCAAGCUCUAAAAUGGAACACUCUAGCUGUGUGGCCACUGAAGCGUGAGUGGCUGAAACGAAGAGAAUGGACAUGGAGCCCACCCGGAAGAGCACCCUUAACAUCAUCAUAUCCCUGAAGCACGAGUCGGGGUGGUGGGACUGCCCUGGAAACCCUGCACACAGCUGGCUUGAGCAGUGGGUAUUUUCAUAAGGCAUAUAUGGGCAUCACAGAACACUUGGAGCUUUAAUGAAGACAGCUGCCAUUCUGUGAGCUGUUCUAUGAAGGAGCCCACUUGGCAAGGAACUGGGGGAGGUCUCAGAUUAACAGCCAGCAAGAAACUGAAUCCUGCUAACAACCACCUGAAUGAACAUGAAAGCAGACCCUUCCCCAAUUGAGUCUUCAGAUGAGACCCAGUGCUCACCUGCACCUAGGUUGGAGCCCUAAGAGAAACCUUGAAGCAGAGGAACCAGCUUAACCUGAUCCAUGGAAACUAUAAAAUAAAAUGUGUGUUGUUUAAACUGCUAAAUUUCUGGAAACUUAUUACCCAGCAGUACAUAUCUAGUGUAUAAGGAUUUACCAGAAGAAAAUAAUCAUGGAUGUGUGCAAAGAUCUAAACACAAUGACGUUCACUGCAAAUUUUUUAAUAAUUGAGAACAUUUGGAAACAGUGUAAAUGUCAAUGAAUAUAAGGCUGGAGAAAUCAAUUAUAAUACAGGUGAACCAUAUGAAAUCAUUUUUGCAGGUUAAAAAAGGUCGAAUAGCACUAAUUUUAUGUGUUUCAACCUAAUGCAUUCGUAUGAUAUGGACAUGAAAAUAGUAUUUAUGAAAAAUACAAUAUGGGGGAACAUCAUAAAAUUUCAUGAUAUAUUGUUAAGUGAGAAAAAUGGCUUAUAAAGCAAUGAAAAUAUGAUUGUAAUUUUGUGAGAGAGAUAUACAGAUAUGCAUAGAGAAAAAGACUGCAGAUAUACCAAUAAAAAGUGAAUAAUGUUUACCUUC
rnacentral:lncRNA from 10 species